GCCUUCAUAGCUCAGUGGUAGAGCGUUGGUCUUGUACAACGCACUAGUCAACCAAAGGCCGAGAGUUCGAUCCUCUCUGGAGGCA
rnacentral:tRNA from 1 species